AUGGAGGAGCAGCUUCUCGCCACGGGCACCGGGAAGAAGGGAGACGACGAGAGCCCGGUGCUGAGCGAGGUGAAGAAGCAGCUGCGCCUCGCCGGGCCUCUGGUCGUCGGCUGCCUCCUGCAGAACGUGGUCCAGAUGAUCUCCGUCAUGUUCGUGGGCCACCUCGGCGAGCUCGCGCUCUCCGCCGCCUCCAUGGCCACCUCCUUCGCCAACGUCACCGGCUUCAGCUUGCUGGCCGGCAUGGCGUGCAGCCUGGACACGCUGUGCGGGCAGGCGUACGGCGCCGGCCAGCACCGCAUGCUGGGCGUGUACAAGCAGCGGGCGAUGCUGGUGCUGUCGCUCGCGAGCGUGCCGGUGGCGGCGCUCUGGGCGUACACGGGCCGGAUCCUGCUCCUGCUCGGGCAGGACCCGGAGAUCGCGGCGGGCGCCGGCGGCUACAUCCGCUGGAUGAUCCCGGCGCUGCUGGCGUACGGGCCGCUGCAGUGCCACGUCCGGUUCCUGCAGACGCAGAACGUGGUGGUGCCCGUGAUGCUCAGCUCCGGCGCCACGGCCCUGAACCACCCGCUGGUGUGCUGGGCGCUGGUGCACGGGCUCCGCAUGGGGAGCAAGGGCGCCGCGCUCGCCAACGCCGUCUCCUUCCUCACCAACCUCUCCAUCCUCGCGCUCUACGUCCGGCUCUCGCCGUCCUGCUCGAGGACCUGGACCGGCUUCUCCCGCGACGCCUUCCGCGGCCUCGCCGGGUUCCUCAAGCUCGCCGUGCCGUCCGCCCUCAUGGUCUGCAUGGAGUGGUGGUCGUUCGAGCUGCUGGUGCUGCUCUCCGGCCUGCUCCCAAACCCCAAGCUGGAGACGGCGGUCCUGUCCAUCUGCCUGAACACCAACUCCCUGGCGUUCAUGGCGCCGCUCGGGCUCGGCGGUGCCAUAAGCACGCGCGUGUCGAACGAGCUCGGGGCGGGGCGGCCGGCGGCGGCGCGGCUGGCGGCGCGCGUGGUGAUGCUGCUGGCGCUGGCGGUGGGCGCGUCGGAGGGGCUGGUGAUGCUGCUGGUGCGCGACGUGUGGGGGUACGCCUACAGCAACGAGGCGGAGGUGGCCGCCUACGUCGCCCGGAUGAUGCCCAUCCUCGCCAUGUCCGUCGUGUUCGACGGCCUCCAGUGCGUCCUCUCAGGCGUUGUCAGGGGCUGCGGGCAGCAGAAGAUGGCCGCAUUCGGCAACCUCGGGGCGUACUACCUCGUCGGCAUUCCCGCGGCCUUCUUCUUCGCCUUCGUCUUCCACCUUGGAGGAAUGGGGCUGUGGUUCGGGAUAUGGUGCGGGCUGGUGGUGCAGAUGCUCUCGCUCCUCGCCAUUUCCGAGUGCGCGACCGACUGGGACAAAGAGGCGGUGAAGGCAAAGGACAGAGCCUUCACUUCUUCGCUGCCUCAAGAUAUGACGACGUGA
rnacentral:rRNA from 1 species